GGUAAAAACAUGUAUCCAGCCAUUCACUACGGACUUAGUAAAAACAUAUAAGAGAAGUCAAAAAAAUUGAGAAAAUAAAAAAGAGAGAGAAACAUACUUCAUCGAAAAAUAAGGAAAGGAAAGUAAUUGCCCGCUUGAAGUGAAUGUUGUGGGUCAGGAGACGAACUCAGGAAUCUGGUUAAAUUUCUUCUAUAUCAUCAGGAAUAAUAUAUCAAUGAUGCGUGGGUUGAUGUGAGUUACAGUUAUUAUAAGGGUCGGCGGCUGACACGUUUUGACAACCUUCUCUUCCUCAUCGUUUUUGCAUGUAGAUAAAUGUACAGUAUACAGAGUGGUGAGAGGGUCCCACUACUGUUUAUAAUGUUUUGAAACAUGUACUUGUUAAAUAUUUGUUUUUGAAAUUAUAUAAAAUGUGCAUUUCAUUUA